rnacentral:rRNA from 1 species
AGUGAGCGCUGGCGGUAGGCCUAACACAUGCAAGUCGAACGGCAGCACAGUAAGAGCUUGCUCUUACGGGUGGCGAGUGUCGGACGGGUGAGGAAUACAUCGGAAUCUACUUUUUCGUGGGGGAUAACGUAGGGAGACUUACGCUUAUACCGCAUACGACCUACGGGUGAAAGCAGGGGAUCUUCGGACCUUGCGCGAUUGAAUGAGCCGAUGUCGGAUUAGCUAGUUGGCGGGGUAAAGGCCCACCAAGGCGACGAUCCGUAGCUGGUCUGAGAGGAUGAUCAGCCACACUGGAACUGAGACACGGUCCAGACUCCUACGGGAGGCAGCAGUGGGGAAUAUUGGACAAUGGGCGCAAGCCUGAUCCAGCCAUACCGCGUGGGUGAAGAAGGCCUUCGGGUUGUAAAGCCCUUUUGUUGGGAAAGAAAAGCAGCAGGUUAAUACCCCGCUGUUCUGACGGUACCCAAAGAAUAAGCACCGGCUAACUUCGUG